rnacentral:rRNA from 1 species
CCCCUAGAUGUUCUGGGCCGCACGCGCGCUACACUGAACAGUUCAACAAGUCUUAACCUUGGCCGAUAGGUCUGGGUAAUCUUUGAACGCUGUUCGUGAUUGGGAUAGACCUUUGCAAUUAUGGGUCUUCAACGAGGAAUUCCUAGUAAACGCAAGUCAUCAGCUUGCAUUGAUUACGUCCCUGCCCUUUGUACACACCGCCCGUCGCACCUACCGCUUGAAUGGUCCGGUGAAAUCUCGGGACGGCGGCUUGGUCGCUUGCGUCCGACUGCUGAAACUUGAUUAAACCAUAUCAUUUAGAGGAAGGUGAANUCGUAACA